rfam:Klebsiella pneumoniae IS39, WGS project CBWT01000000 data, contig: rep_c959
AAUUAUGGUGGCUCAGGCGGGGCCGACUACGGUCGGGCCGAUGUCCAUUGGGAUCGGUGUUGAGAACCCCGUCUGGGCUACCACCCUU